AUGUGUUGCUUUAUCAUGAGAAUAUGUUUUGAGAUGUUUCCUCAGGCAGUUUCAUCACUGUGUGAAUAUCCUAGUGUGUUCUUACACAAACUUAGAUUGUAUAGCCUACUACAAACACAGGCUAUAUGGCACAGCCUACUGCUCCUGGGCUAUAAAGCUGUACGGCAUGUUACUGUACCAAAUGCUAAAGGCAAUUGUAACACAGUGAGAAGUAUAUGUGCAUGUCUGUUUUUCAUAAUUGCUCUUUAUAUUGUGUGUUAUCAGACAAGAUGAUAGUUAUUUAAGAAACAUGGGAAUUGCAGAAAUGACUGCAGUGCAGCAGUAAUUAUGGUGCACUUUUUUGCUAUUUAAGUUGGAUAUUUCUCUACAUUCCUGAAACAAUUUUUAGGUUUUUUUUUGUACUAGAAAAUGCAGGCAGUGUUUUCACAAAAGUAAAUGUACAGUGAUUUGAAAUACAAUAAAUGAAGGCAAUGCAUGGCCUUCCAAUAAAAAAUAUUUGAAGACUGAAAAAAAAAUAUUUUUACUAUAUCAUUUGAGUUUUUAAAAUAAAUGUUUUCUUUAAGGCAUAGUACUUAAAUUUUAACUAUCAGAUUCAUUUUCAGAUUUAUGCUAUCUUAAUUCUAGUAAGAUAUAGAAAUAUUAUUUCUAUAUAACUUUUAAUGAACUGAAUGCCUGUGUCUUGCUCAGAUUUGUAUAUUAAAGCCCUGUCCUCAACGUGGUGACACUAGGAGGUGUGUCCUUUGGAACAUAAUUAGGUUUAAGUGAGUUUCUGAAGGUGAGGCCUCCAUGAUGGUAUUAGUGUCAUUAUAAGAAGAAGGACCCAGAAUCCACUUUGUUUCUGCCAUGUGAAGACACAAUAAGAAGGCAGCCCUUUGUGAGCCACGAUGAGAAGGCCCUUACUAGCACCCAAUCGUGAUGACACCCUGAUCUCAGACAUCUGCUCUCAAGAACUGAGAGCAAAUAGAUAUCUACUCUUUAAGUUUCCCAGUUUAUGUCAUUUUACUAUUGCAACCUGAGAUGCCUAAGACAUAACUAUAUUCUUUUCUCCCUAUUUUUGUUGUACUAGUAUUAUACAUAUUUAUGUAUUAAUAUUACAAACCUACAAACCCAAUGCUACAUUGUUAUAAUUAUUAAUUUACUCAUCUGGAGUCAUUUCCUUAGCCCAGUGUAGGUUUGCUCUCACCUACUUCCUUUGUGCUGUCAUUGACAAAUAUAUUACCAAUUUAUUACAUUUCUGUGUUACAGACCCAACAAUACAUUGUAACAUAUUAUUUUACACAACUGCUUUAUAAAUCAAGAGAAAAAGAAAAAAAUAUAUUUAUACUGCUUUGUGGAAUUAUAUAACUAACUUUAUAGAAGCUCAUAUUUUCCUAUGUGUACUCAAAUUAUUAUCUGGGGUCAUUUGCCUUCAGGCUGAAGAAUUUCCUUUUGAGUUUUUUUGUAAGGUGGGUCUGCUACCAACGCAUUCUCUCAGUUUUUGUUAAUCUAGAAAUGUUCUUAUUUUACUUUAAUUUUGGAAAGACAGAUUGGCUUGAUGUAAGAUUUUUGGUUGUCAGUUUUUAUUUAUUUAUUUCUUUUAUUUUUUUAACUGAGCACUUUAAAUAUGAUAUUCGACUGCCUUCUGGCCUACAUUGUCUUUUUUUUUUUUUCUGAGAAGUCAGCUGUUAAAUCUUACUGAGAUCUCCUUGAGAGUGAGGAGUUUUGUUUUGUUUUAUUUUUCUCUUGUGCUUUCAAGAUUUUCUUCUUGUUUUGAGUUUAAGCAUUUCUACUAUGAUGUGUCUGAUGCAGAUAUUACUUCAUGUAUUUUACUUGGAAUUCAUUCAACUUACUGAAUAUAUAGGAUAAUGUUUUCUAAUAAGUUUGAGAAUUUUUAAACCACUACCUGAUACUUCUGUUACAUGGAGGUUGAUGCACUUAAUGAUGUCCCAGAUUUCCCUGAGGCUCUUUAUUUCUCUUUCCCCCACUGUGUUUUAGCUUGUAUAAUCUGAAUCCAUCUAUCUUCAAGUUUGCUAAUUAUUACUUCUGCUAAUUCAGACCUACUGUUGGGCCCGUCUAGUAUACUUUUCAUUUCAGUUCUUGUGUUUAUCAGCUCCAGAAUUUCCAUUUUGUUCUUUUAAUAAUUUUUAUCUCAUUGUUGAUACUUUGUUUUGUGUUGGACAUUGUCAUCAUGACUUCCUUUACUUUUUAAAUAGCUUCCUUUAUUUCUGUGAUCAUAAUUGAAAUGGCUACCAUGAAGCCUUUUCUCUUAAAUUUGAUAUCUGUUUGCUCUCACAGUUUCUUUUGCCUGCCUUUUCCUUUUCUUUCAUAUGUCCUACUUUACAGUUUAUUUGCAUUUCUCGUUAUUUUUUUGUGGUUGGAAACUAGACCUCUUAGAUAAUAACAGCAACUUUGGGCAAGAGUCUGCUCCCUUUCAGGGCUGGACUAUUUUAGUGAUGUCUAUUUUCUCCUGUCCUACACUGGUAAACUUCUGAUAUUAAUCUUCUGUAGGGUACUGCUUUUGGUAAGUGCAUGGUCACCUUGAGACAGUGCUGGGUUUGGCUUGCCCCUCUUGUCUCUUUCCCUGACCAUAGCAAACUGUUAUGCCCCAUUACUUGGAGGCUGAUUGCUCUAUUGUUUUCAAUUAUGUCCUGGGUUAUAAACUGUUCUUUAGGGUAAUUGAAUCAGAUCUGGGUUUCUUUGAAGGAGGUCCUUAGAUCAGUGUUGUAUACUUUUCUUCUCUAAGUUUUCUCUUUCCCGGGUUCUCACCUGCAAGCUAACUGGCUUACCAUUCAGCCUGUGUCUUGAAUCUAUUUUCUCCCAGUUGCUUUUCACUGUGAUCUCUGCUAUUUUUGAGAAUGUCUACAGGCUGGCAUUUCCCCAUGCUCUGUUGCAAGUGAAGUCAGUUUUUUUUGCGGGGGAAGAGACUAGGAGCAAUUCGUUUUAUGGCCUGCUUCUUCUUCCAGUAAAAUAUUGAAUUAGGCCGCUGCGGUUUGAUUUGGGAUGAGGAGAUAUUUUCUCUGAGCAAUGCUCCUACUUUUGAGCCUGAGUGCUCAGUGGAGGUAGAGACUGUAGGAUGGGGUCUUCAUGAGUUGGUUUUCUUGGUGUGAAAACUUAUUAUCCAGGGUAAGACAACUGGGGCCCCAGUAUUUUCAUAGGUUCUGUGCCUGAGAUGGAGUCUCUGUACCAUGAAUGGAGGGUGGGGUGAAGAAAAGAGCCCUGACUCUCAACUGCUCUCACCUGAGACAUCCUCAGCAACAGGAAACAAUUGUUAGUUAAAGGAGAAAUGUGGAUGUUGCAUACUUCCCUAGAAGAAAGCUCUCCAACUGGAACCUGUGGGAGAAGAUGCCAUUUGUUCUUGGCUAAGGAAGUCCAGAUUGGAGUUUCUAUAUCUCUUAGUUGGGAGGGGCAGUGGAGAGUGGACUGUGCUCAAAUACUACACACUCCUGCUUUUCAUUCUGAGUAUUUAUAGAUUUAUUUGAAUGGAUAUUUCUUCUUUUCCUGUAUUCAUUUAGGAUCAUUUCCAGGGGUUAUAAA
ensembl:lncRNA